rnacentral:rRNA from 1 species
GAUGAACGCUGGCGGCGUGCCUAAUACAUGCAAGUCGAGCGAACGGACUAGAAGCUUUCUUCCCUGAUGUUAGCGGCGGACGGGUGUGUAACCCGUGGAUAACCUACCUAUAAGACUUGGAUAACUUCGGGAAACCGGAGCUAAUACCGGAUAAUAUUUUGAACCGCAUGGUUCAAAAGUGAAAGACGGUCUUGCUGUCACUGAUAGAUGGAUCCGCGCUGCAUUAGCUAGUUGGUAAGGUAACGGCUUACCAAGGCAACGAUGCAUAGCCGACCUGAGAGGGUGAUCGGCCACACUGGAACUGAGACACGGUCCAGACUCCUACGGGAGGCAGCAGUAGGGAAUCUGCCGCAAUGGGCGAAAGCCUGACGGAGCAACGCCGCGUGAGUGAUGAAGGUCUUCGGAUCGUAAAACUCUGUUAUUAGGGAAGAACAUAUGUGUAAGUAACUGUGCACAUCUUGACGGUACCUAAUCAGAAAGCCACGGCUAACUACGUG